GGUCGAUUGGCCCAGUGGUUUAAGGCAUCUGCUUUACAAAUGUAUUGCGCAGAGGAUCGCAGGUUCGAUCCCUGCAUCGAUCA
rfam:Colletotrichum gloeosporioides Cg-14 contig01090, whole genome shotgun sequence.